rnacentral:RNase_P_RNA from 1 species
UGAGGUUUCACGAUGGCCGCGGUCGCAAUGUUCAUUCGGAGUGACUGAGGAACUUCCGGGCUCCAUAGAGCACAAUGGCGGAUAACGUCCGCCCAGGGUGACCUGAGAGAUAGCGCAACAGAAAAUAAACCGCCUAAUCGUUUUUUAAGUGCGUUUAGGUAAGGGUGAAAUGGCGGUGUAAGAGACCACCGGACUUCUGGUAACAGUUAGUCGCAUGGCAAGCCUCAUUGGGAGCAAGGUCAAGCAGAAGGCAUUAAGGGCUGCUCGCCCAAGUCUUCGGGUAGACUGCUAGAGUUUGGCGGCAACGUCAAAUCGAGAUGGAUGGCCAUCCGUGUGCAUUUAUGCACAUGACAAAACCCGGGGUAUGUGAAACCUCACCAC